GACAGAGGGUGCAAACGUUGUUCGGAAUUACUGGGCGUAAAGCGCGUGUAGGCUGCUUCGCAAGUCGGAUGUGAAAGCCCUGGGCUCAACCCAGGAAGUGCAUUCGAAACUGCAGAGCUGGAGUCCUGGAGAGGAAGGCGGAAUUCUCGGUGUAGAGGUGAAAUUCGUAGAUAUCGAGAGGAACACCGGUGGCGAAGGCGGCAUCCUGGACCGACACUGACGCUGAGGAGCGAAAGCCAGGGGAGCAAACGGG
rnacentral:rRNA from 1 species